rnacentral:lncRNA from 1 species
CAUGCACACCCCAUGCACCCCAUGCAUGCACACACCCCAUAUCCACGUGCACCCCAUGCACCCCAUGCACGCACACACCCCAUAGCCUUGCACACCCCAUGCACCCUGUGCACGCACACACCCCAUAUCCACAUGCACCCCAUGCACCCCAUGCACGCGCACCCCAUGCAUGCGCACCCCACGCACCCCGUGCAUGCACACACCCCAUAGCCAUGCACACCCCAUGCAUCCCGUGCAUGCACACACCCCAUAUCCACAUGCACCCCAUGCACCCCAUGCAUGCACACACCCCAUAGCCUUGCACACCCCAUGCACCCCAUGCAUGCACACACCCCAUAUCCACAUGCACCCCAUGCAUGCACACACCCCGUAUCCAUAUGCACCCCAUGCAUGCACACACCCCAUAGCCAUGCACACCCCAUGCAUCCCGUGCAUGCACACGCCCCAUAUCCCUAUGCACCCCAUGCAUGCACACACCCCAUAGCCAUGCACACCCCAUGCACCCCAUGCAUGCACACACCCCAUAUCCACAUGCACCCCAUGCACGCACACACCCCAUAUCCGUAUGCACCCCAUGCAUGCACCCCAUGCACCCCAUGCAUGCACACACCCCAUAUCCACGUGCACCCCAUGCAUGCACACACCCCAUAGCCACGCACACCCCAUGCAUGCACCCCAUGCACCCCAUGCGUGCACACACCCCAUAUCCAUGCACACCCCAUGCACCCCAUGCAUGCACACACCCCAUAUCCACAUGCACCCCAUGCACCCCGUGCGUGCACACACCCCAUAUCCAUGCACACCCCAUGCACCCCAUGCAUGCACACACCCCAUAUCCACGCACACCCCGUGCACCCUACACCCAUGCACACCCCACGCCGACCCCACACCCACCCCUGCCCCACACAGACCCCAUCGCCACCGGUUCCCGCUGCCGAGCGCGGCCCCGUUUCCCACGUGGUGCUGCUCCCUCCCUGCGCCCCAUAGAUAACGCCCCGUGCUGCUGCUAUGGGGUGAUAGUGGGGGGCUGCAACUGUCACCGGGGCUGGGAGCCCCCACCUGCCCUCCCCCCGUUUGUGGGGCCGGUCCCAAUGUCCCCAUGGGCAGAGGUUGUGGCUUUGGGGUCCUGGCUUUGGGGUCGUGGUGUUCGGGUCGCGGCGUUGGGGUAAUGUGCCGGGGUCGUGACUUUGGGGUCAUGGCCUUGAGCUUCUGGCUUUGGGGUCGUGGUUUGGGGGGGUGGCGCUGGGGUCCUGGUUUUGGGGUCUUGGCAUUAGGGUUGUUGGUGUUGUGGUCGUGGCUUUGGGGUCGUGGCUUUGGGGUCGUGGCUUUGGGGUCAUGGCUUUGGGGUCCUGGUUUUGGGGUCCUGGUUUUGGGGUCCUGGUUUGUAGGGUCCUGGCUUUGGGGUCCUGGUUUUGGAGUCCUGGUUUUGGGGUCUUGGUUUUGGGGUCAUGGCUUUGGGGUCCUGGUUUUGGAGUCCUGGUUUUGCGGUACUGGCACCGGGAUCAUGACUUUGGGCUCAUGGGUUUGAGUCAUGGCAUUGGGGUCCUGGUUUUGGGAUCAUGGUUUUGGGGUCCUAACUUUGGGGUCCUGGUUUUGGGGUCCUGGUUUUGGGGUCCUGGUUUUGGGGUCCUGGUUUUAGAGUCCUAGCUUUGGGGUCUUGGCUUUGAGGUCCUGGCUUUGGGGUCUUGGUUUUGGGGUCCUGGUUUUGGGGUCUUGGUUUUGGGGUCCUGGUUUUAGAGUCCUAGCUUUGGGGUCCUGGCUUUGAGGUCCUGGCUUUGGGGUCUUGGUUUUGGGGUCCUGGCUUUGAGGUCCUGGUUUUGGGGUCCUGGCUUUGGGGUCAUGCUGUGGGGUGGUGGCCUUGGGGUGCCCCCGGCGCUGAGCACCGUGUCCCGCUGUAGAUGGGUGCGCGAGUUCCUCAAUGACGAGAACAAGGGGCUGGACGUGCUGGUGAACUACCUGUCCUUCGCCCAGUGCGCCGUCAUGUGAGUGGGGGC